AGGAGGGUGGGAUUCAUUCCUGGAAGAAAUGGUCAGGAUGUAAGUAGACUUCAUUCCCUUUCUCCUGGUCUCCUGGGGGAGGGGGUGAAUCCUGGGGUCCCCGGCACAGCCCUGGCUCUCUGGGAAUUGACCUGGCCAAUCUUCUCCAGAGAGCUCAGCUCCUCCACACUCUUUCCCUACCUUCCCCCUUUCUCUCCCCUCUCACCAUCCACUUUUAUUAGGAAAUUCCUAGCCCACUUUCCUCCCAGGAGCUCAAGGUGGCCUUCAUGGUUCUCCCUGCCACCAGUUUUUGUGAGCUGAGGAGAUAAUAGCUCAGCAGUCGCCCUGUAUCACAUGGGGCCUGUUGAUCUCAUAUAACAGGAAGUACUGGUGAUGUGGCAUGUAAACAGGAACAGGAACCGUCUGUGUACUGUUGUAAACUUUCUGAUAUAUGGGAUUGUCUGUAAGCAAUGUUGCGCUGUUGUAUUGAAGCUUCUAGCCGGGAUGGAUCUGUCUUCCCCAGGUUAGAGUUGUUUUAAGUUGUUUUAAGUAAUAAAUCUUACUUGUUUUAAUGAACAAGGGAGUGGAAAGUGAUUUAUUUCAUAGGCGCUGAAAGCUGGAUAAGUUUCCGCUGCAACACAGCUGCAAUUAGGCUGUUAUCUAAACUUCAGAAGGACGUUUAGAAAACCAGGCUUGGCUUUCGCGAAGGAAGCGUGCUGGACAAGUAUGCAACACAGCAAGGAGUUUUUGCUACGCUUCUACUACUCUGCUGACAGGUUAUGGAUCCAAUCAAUUCAGCUUUCAUAAGCCUAUGAACUGCUGUGGAAAGGUUGCUGCUCUUCUGAAUGCUGUUAAAAUUCCAGCUGGGAGGCUGUGCAAACAAGGAGCAUCAAUCUCGCUGGUAUCUUCUCUUCCGGAGGUCCGUCUGCUGAAGGAGACUCCAGCCGUUGAAUACGACGUAAACGUGAGUUUGCUGACAGCCCCGAAGAGAAAAGAGGAGGAGUGUUUGCUUAAUGAUGGCAGCUUCAAAGGUUUUUAUUUGCCCUAUUUGCACAUCGUUGCCAGAGGGCAUGCCACCCCAGCACUCCUGUUAAAUUCCCGUGGCGCAGCAUGAAAUGCUGUGGUCACGCCCACUCCCAGGGAAGAGGAAAAAAGGGAGAUAAGAGGGGGCUGGCCUGCUGUGGGCAGAAAGGAAGCAAAUGCUUUGAGAGGCUUUGCUGAAAGGUGGACAAAUGGGAAUGAAAGCUGGUUUGCUACGAUCCCAAAUGGAGACUUGGCAGUCAGCCAGGAUCCACGGCCGAUCCCUGCAUGCCCAACCCCAAAGGUGGGGGUUGUUUUUGGCACAACGCAGAGCCAAUUAGGCUGAAAAUGUCCAGGGUGUCACCCAGUUGCUUGUUGCUGUUUUGGAGUUUUCCUGUGAUGCACAGUUUCUCAGAAUGGCUAGGCAAGGCUUUGCUGCUGCAAAGGGCUGUUUUGCCACAGCUGAAGGCAAGGCUACUUGCGAGGGCUGUUUUGACCAAGGCAUGAAAAUUUCCACUGUGCAAGGCUGCUCAGUUCCCAGGAAUGCAAUGGGGCCCGUGUGCAAAGUCCUGGAAGAUUCCAUUGUUGAUGAGCAGAGGCAUUGUUCCAUCCUACGUCAUCUUGAAGAAGAUACAGGCCAAGGUCACCAGCUGGGCCACCACCAGAUAACGUGUUCUCUGGAGCUUGGGAAAGGCAAGAGGACCACCAGUUUGGGAACCUUGUGUGCUGGCAAUCGGUCAGCAGAUUCAGGUGGUUCAGGGCCCUGUUCAGCUGCCGGUGGAGGAACAGGGUGGCCCCGCUGCAGAGGAGCCCGUGGUGAUAGGUGAGGAAGUGUGGACACCGAAGGGCUGGGGUGCACCUCAGUGUGCAGGAGAAGACUCUGCUCUGAGAGGAACUCACCUGUCCCCAUGUUUUCCUCUUCUUGGGUUUCUUCCACCCAGCAAUACCGCUGGAGCAGGAGCUAGACUUCUUGCUCCAGGUGACACAGAGCUGCCAGGCAGCUGCCCUGAGAGGCCUCCACACCCUUCAGGUGUCCAAGCACCGGACAGCGGAGGCCCUUCUGGUUCUCCAAAGCGACACCGUUGAAGAAAGCGGGGAGUCCGGGGGAGACCAUAAACCUGGCGGCCAGCAGCAUCUCUGCACUGCUGUCCUUUGCCCAAAGCUUUCCCCAGUUCACAAUGACAGUAAUUCAGCUGGAGUUGGCCAGCUUCUGGCUGAAUCCAAAAGAAGGUAAGCCCCACACCUUGGAGACAGGGAACUCCCUUGUCCCUUCUUUGCCCAAGACUCACCUCCCAGGUUUUCUUGCUGGGAGUCCUGCAGGACCUGCUCCCUGCCUGGCAGGCCUUUCCCACCUGGCCUGGGAGGGCAGCGCCCAGACUGACUCCAGCUACAAGAAGCGGAGGGGGCUGAACAGACUCUGGGGUUGGGGUCUUGUUGAGGGGUGCUUGCUAGCAGGGGUGCUUCCCGCUUCCUUUGCCCUCCAUGGUCUCCCUGCCUGAGCUGACAGAGCUGGUCUCACAGGCAGAGUUCAGGACUCCCCGACUGCUGGUGCUGGACGACUUCAAAAUCUGUGCCGAAGCAGCUGGCUCUGGGGUGCUCAGGACCAAUGGGGAGGGAUGAUGGGAACUGUAGUCCAGGAGCUGCUGGGAACCCAAGUUGGGGAAACCCUGCUUUAAAGCAACUUUUGUGUCUGGCCUGCAAAGAUGGGACCUGCCCACGUUUAUAUUUUCUUGUAUUUUGUUUUCCUCAUGACCUGUGUGUGUGUGUGUGUGUGUGUGUGUUUAAAGAGGGCAAAUUGAAAGAGAAAUUGUAUGGCAAGUUGUGGAAGAAUAAAAGGUUGCAGUUGGGGGGAAAAACCACACAAAAACUGGGGGGUGGACUCCUAAAGAUUUUAUUGGGGGGGGGCAAAGACCCCUAGGCCUUUAAGAGGUGGUGCCUAUUCCCUACCCCGUGUCUCAGGAUGGUUACAACAUAAAAAAAAAUAAAAACACAAAACACCACGCUUUAAAAGGGCAUUAGCUGUCAAACAGCAAAAGGCCUGGUUAAAAAGGUGCCGAUUUACCUGGCUCCUAAAGGUGUAUAAUGGUUUUUCCGACCUUUGUAUGGAUUCUUUUAUGGGAAGUGAGUUUGGAGCUAUCAGCGAAGCUCUUUCAACAGGGGCAUCACAACAGGGGGCGGGGGGGCAUGCCGUCCCGAGCUCCACUCUGCGGCGGGCAGUGCGCCCUGGCCCUUCCGCACCCAUCGACGGUGGCCGCCAUCACGGAGAGGCCGCCCCGAUGCUGCUGGCUGCCAUCCGCCACUCGAGGCUUGGGAGUCACGGGGGCAGGGGCAUCUCACGACGCAGCAUCACACGACGUCACCAUCGCAUGUCUACGUAGACGUCGUGCGACGCUGCAUCGUGGGGUGGUCCCUCCCCGCAACUCCCAAGUCUCACUCGGCGAGGCGGAGGCCAGUAAAAAGACUUGAUUACCGCCGCGGCAGCUGGAAGCCAGUUGCUGCUGCGGCGAGCGAGUCUUUUUUCCGGGUGCUGCUGCCCCGAGCGAGGCAUGGGAAUCGGGGGGGUUACCCCACAACGCAGCGUCAUAGGCAUGCGUGCAACAUCACGACACCACGCCCUCCGGUUUUGCCGCCCCAGGUGUGCCGCGUGUGUGCAGUCCGUAUGGGGCGCCACACGGGCGCCGCCCCCAGUGACAGCUGGGGUAGGAACGCCACUGUCUUUCGACAUUCCACGCACUGAUAGUGUUUCUCCCCUGUAUGAAUUCUUAGAUGGGAAGUGAAAUUGUGGCUGUGACUGAAGCUCUUUCUACAUUCCACACACAGUUUCUCCCCUGUAUGAAGUGAGAGGAGCGCCGACUGAAGCUCUUUCCACAUUCAAAGCACUGAUAGGGUUUCUCCCCUGUAUGAAUUCUUUGAUGGAAAGUGAGACUGUGGCUAUUGAAUUUUAUAACAAAUAAAAAUACAAAUCUCUGUUUAAAACAAUAAGUUUUAUUAAUUUCUUUCUUUAGAAACAUAGACGUACAACAUGCAUAUAUUUCAUAUUCUUCUCUCUCAUAACAUUUUACAAAAAGAAAAUAGAAAAGGAAAGAAUAAAAGAAAAAAAAGAAAAAGAGAGAAAAAAAGAAGGGGGAAGGAAAGAUACUAAUAUAGAAAACAAACAAACAAUCUGUAUACAAAAAAAGACAAAAAGAAAACAAUUACAUCUCUCUAUAUGUACAAUCCACACCUUCUUUGUGAUAACUUCCAAUUAUUCUCUCUGUAAUCUACAUAUUAACCUUAUUUUAUCACACAAUUCUGAAUUUACAUCUACAUUCGCCCCCCCCUUAAGAAAGUCAGGUUCAACUUUAGUCUGCCAUUAGGAUUCUGGGUAUACCACUACUAUUUAAAUACUCAUCAAACAUCCUCCAUUCCUUCUGUGUUUUUUUGUUUCGUUUGUCCUCUUAUUCUUCCAGUGGUUUUUGCUAACUGUAAAUAUUCUAUCAUUAAAGUUUGCCAAUCCAUUAUGCUGGGUGCAUUUUUGUUUUCCCAAUUUCUGGCGACCAGGACUCUUGCCGCUACAAUUCCAUACAAUAACAAUAUUCUUUUUGUGGUUUUAAUAUCCUCUGGUAUUAUAUUUAAUAAAAACAUUUCCGGUCUUUUUCUAAAUGUGCAUUUUAACAUUUUUAAAAGAUCUUCAUAGAUGUUAUUCCAGUACCUACAUAUUUCCGGACAAUUCCACCACAUAUGUAUUAGAGACCCUUUUUCCAGCACAUAGAAUAUUUAUUUUUAUACUUCUUGGCUAACUUUUCUGGUGUUUGGUACCACCUGUGCAUCAUUUUAAAGAUGUUUUCUAUUAAGUUAUAACAGGCGGUAAACUUUAAAUCUACCCUCCACAGUCUUUCCCAUUGCUCCAUCAGGACAUUGUAGCCAAGGUCUUGGGCCCACUUCACCAUUACUGGUUUAACCUGCUCCUCUUUGAGUUCCCAUUCCAACAGCAGGUCAUAAAUAUGUGAAAUACGUGAAAUGUACUUCCCAUCACUCAGUAUUAGUUCUUUUUCAAAUUUUGAUUUUUCCUUUGAAAUGCCCAUUUUUUUAUCCUGAUUAAACCUAUGAUUGAUUUGAAAGUAUUGUAGCCAGUCCGAAAGGUAUUAUUUUCUCUCUUCAUAUUUUUUCAAUAUUAGCUCAUUUUGUUUCUUUUCCAAUAAGUCCUGAUAGGUGGCGAUCUUUAUCUCCAUAUUUAGUGUCUUAACUGUUAUAACGUUUGUUGAUGAUGUCCACAAAGGGAUCCUGGGUUCCAAAAUUUGUAUUUUACCCAGAUCAGGUAUAAUGAUUUUCUUACUAAGUGGUUCAGGAAACCCUUGUGGACCUUAACCUUAUCGUAAAAGUAGGUAAGAGUGCCAGCCAAAUCGAUUUUCCACUCCUUCCAGGUCUAAUAUUUCUGGAUUUUUCAAAGUUACCCAUUCCUUUAACCAGACUAUGCCCGCUGCCGCAUGGUACAACUCUAAAUUUGGGAGAGCGAACCCCUCCCCCUUUCCUGUCUGUUAGCAGCUGGUACUUUAUUCUUGGUCUCUUACCAUUCCAUAUAAACUUUGUUAUAUCUUUUUUUCCACUCCUGUGUGCGUUUAUUUUUUUAUUUUUAAGACGGCAAAUUGUAUGGCAAG